ACCGCACUGAACUAUGCAUGUAAUUAUGGACACCCAAAAGUGGCAGCUCGUUCUAAAGAGGAAGUGUGAGAUCGAUGCAUGUGAUAGUGACAGAUGCACACCUCUGAUUAAGUCCUCACAGCACCAGCAUGAAGCGUGUGUGAAGAUCCUACUGCAGUUUGAUGCUAAUCCCAAAGCCGCCGAUGCCAAGAAGAACACGGCCCUUCGCUACUCCAUCUACAAUGUUGACCCUCCAAUGGUGACCACUUUGCUAGAAUAGCAUGCAGACCCUGAAGUCAAAGUGAAGGACGGCUUCACGCCACUCACAGCUGCUGUGGUGAAGGACAAUGUGCAGGUAGCGGCGAUCCUGCUCCCAAAGGCGAACGUGAAUGCCAGCAACGACUGCAAGAGG